rnacentral:tRNA from 1 species
GGGGAUGUAGCUCAGUGGUAAAGUGCUUGCCCAGCAUGUAUGAGGCCCUGGGUUCAAUACCCAGCACCA